UAACCAAUGAAAGGAGGUGAUCCGAUGUCUCGUUCCACUUUGCGGACCCGUGCGGAUCUCUCCGUCACCGGGCUUAUCCUCGGCUGAUACGGAUUGGGUCCGCCGGCGGGUUCUUAACCGCCAAGCGGAUCGUCUACGGCUACCGUAGGGGGCGGGGCCGGCACCAGCGAUGGGGCCGGCCC
rnacentral:sRNA from 2 species